CCUCCUGUACAUGAGCUGAUAAAUUGGUUAUACUGUGUAAUUUAUACACUUCAUAAGCUUUAACAACAACUCCUAUACGCCCCUUAUUGCCCUAUACGCCCCUCAUUGAUUCAAAAACUACUUUUCAGGUUUGACUACAUAGAGAACAGAACAUUUUAACCCCACACACUAAAACACCAAGAAACACACACUGUCUCUCUCGUAUAGCUCGGCUUAGAACGUAUCAACUUAUACAGUCCAUAUUUUCAUAAAAGAUAUGUCGUCAGACGAGGAGGAGUUUGGUGUGGUACAGGGAGUAUAA
rnacentral:lncRNA from 1 species